rnacentral:rRNA from 1 species
GGGGUUUUGCUAUUCUCUGUCUAUCAUGCAGUCGAGCGAACAGACAAGGAGCUUGCUCCUUUGACGUUAGCGGCGGACGGGUGAGUAACACGUGGGUAACCUACCUAUAAGACUGGGAUAACUUCGGGAAACCGGAGCUAAUACCGGAUAAUAUUUCGAACCGCAUGGUUCGAUAGUGAAAGAUGGUUUUGCUAUCACUUAUAGAUGGACCCGCGCCGUAUUAGCUAGUUGGUAAGGUAACGGCUUACCAAGGCGACGAUACGUAGCCGACCUGAGAGGGUGAUCGGCCACACUGGAACUGAGACACGGUCCAGACUCCUACGGGAGGCAGCAGUAGGGAAUCUUCCGCAAUGGGCGAAAGCCUGACGGAGCAACGCCGCGUGAGUGAUGAAGGUCUUCGGAUCGUAAAACUCUGUUAUUAGGGAAGAACAUACGUGUAAGUAACUAUGCACGUCUUGACGGUACCUAAUCAGAAAGCCACGGCUAACUACGUGCCAGCAGCCGCGGUAAUACGUAGGUGGCAAGCGUUAUCCGGAAUUAUUGGGCGUAAAGCGCGCGUAGGCGGUUUUUUAAGUCUGAUGUGAAAGCCCACGGCUCAACCGUGGAGGGUCAUUGGAAACUGGAAAACUUGAGUGCAGAAGAGGAAAGUGGAAUUCCAUGUGUAGCGGUGAAAUGCGCAGAGAUAUGGAGGAACACCAGUGGCGAAGGCGACUUUCUGGUCUGUAACUGACGCUGAUGUGCGAAAGCGUGGGGAUCAAACAGGAUUAGAUACCCUGGUAGUCCACGCCGUAAACGAUGAGUGCUAAGUGUUAGGGGGUUUCCGCCCCUUAGUGCUGCAGCUAACGCAUUAAGCACUCCGCCUGGGGAGUACGACCGCAAGGUUGAAACUCAAAGGAAUUGACGGGGACCCGCACAGCGGUGGAGCAUGUGGUUUAAUUCGAAGCAACGCGAAGAACCUUACCAAAUCUUGACAUCCUUUGACAACUCUAGAAGAUAGAGCUUCCCCUUCGGGGGACAAAGGGACAGUUGUGCAUGUUGUCGUCAGCUCGGUGUUCGUGAGAUGUUGGUAGGUCCCGCCACGAGCGCACUCGUAAGCUAAGUGCCAUCAUAGGUGGGCACUCUAAGUUGACUGCGUACAAACUGAAGAGGUGGGAUGACUCAUCAUCUAUGCCUUAGAGAUUGGCGCUUAACACGUGCUCACAAUGGGCACAAUUCCAAGUGUCACGCUUAC